AGAGUUUGAUCAUGGCUCAGAGCGAACGCUGGCGGCGUGCUUAACACAUGCAAGUCGAACGGGUGUAGCAAUACAUUCGUGGCGAACGGGUGCGUAACACGUGGAUAACCUUCCUUCAGGUGGGGAAUAACCCAGUGAAAAUUGGGCUAAUACCGCAUAACAUUACGAGGGCACAUGCUCUUGUAUUCAAAGGCGCAAGUCGCCGGAAGAGGGAUCCGCGGCCGAUUAGCUAGUUGGCGAGGUAAUGGCUCACCAAGGCAAUGAUCGGUAGCCGGACUGAGAGGUUGACCGGCCACACUGGAACUGAGACACGGUCCAGACUCCUACGGGAGGCAGCAGUGGGGAAUCUUGCGCAAUGGGCGAAAGCCUGACGCAGCAACGCCGCGUGGGGGAUGAAGCUUCUCGGAGUGUAAACCCCUUUCGACCCGGACGAAUGCCCGCAAGGGCUUGACGGUACGGGUAUAAGAAGCCCCGGCUAACUACGUGCCAGCAGCCGCGGUAAAACGUAGGGGGCCAGCGUUGCUCGGAAUUACUGGGCGUAAAGGGUCCGUAGGCGGUGUGACAAGUCGGUAGUGAAAUCUCCGGGCUUAACUCGGAGGCUGCUGCCGAAACUGUUGUGCUAGAGUGUGAGAGAGGCGAGUGGAAUUACGGGUGUAGCGGUGAAAUGCGUAGAUAUCCGUAGGAACAUCCGAGGCGAAAGCGGCUCGCUGGAUCACAACUGACGCUGAGGGACGAAAGCUAGGGGAGCAAACAGGAUUAGAUACCCCAGUAGUCC
rnacentral:rRNA from 1 species